rnacentral:lncRNA from 1 species
UCCCGGUGUCUUGACACCCGCGAGCGAAAUGCCGUACAAUCGAAUUUGCUUCCGAAACCGGGGUAUCCGUGAAACCCACUGUGCAGGCGCCAGGAAUACGGCAUUCCUUCAGAGUUGCAACCUAUCCUGGCAUCCCGGGGCGUUGUCAGUCACGGCUACUCAUGUGUUCCAACGACCGAAGAUGCGCUGCAGGUGAGACGACGGACGUUUGUAAGGCUGCUGCAUAGCGUGGAUUCUGAUGUAUAUGAUUCGAACAUUUCUCGUCACGCAGGCUCUGCAACUGCUAUCCGCUAUGGAUGCCAUGCAUCGCCUCCUGGUAAGCGCUGUGUGCAGCGAGGCGGCCUUACCGACCUAAUGCUGGGGUAGCCGCGACAGGAGCUUCAUUUUCUUCCCGGCGCAUGAAUUGCCAUAACCUUGUGUAUUGCUCCGCAGGUAGAGCACCAUUCGCCUCUUUGCAAGCAGAUCAAGGACGCCAACGGCGCCGACUUUCAGGUCGGUAGGCACAUCGGACAUUGGACGUUCACUGUCCACGCAGUCUCACACGAUGACUCAUGUUGCCACUCGAAUCCUGCAGGCGCACGUAGUUUCAAACACACCUCGAGUCGAGUUCCGGCUGCGACAGGGCGUAGCUCAGGUGUCAAGUGGCACUCCGGCUGCUGCUGCAUCCGCCGCUGGGGCAAGCGGAUUACAACCAUUUAAGGUUCGUGAGGCAUGGCCGACAUGCUGCGCAUGGGAACAUCCGCCAUUUCUGAUACUUCAUUCGCCAUAGAACAUUCGCCCAGAUAGCUCUACCCUGUAUGUUGUCUGUACGUGCGUGUCAUGUUGGGGUCCCUGUGCUCAAAUACCCGUGCAGGACCUGACGGACUUGCUCCGCAGCGUUCUUCUGUCUUCAGCUCCCCCAGCUGAUGCCCCUGCACGUGUCUCUAGCGCAUGCGGCAUCUGGAUCUACGUCAGCCUGCAGCUGGCCAGUGCGGAUCCGCCUCUCAAAGCCGCCAAGGUCCUGCAGUACGCUGAGAACACGCGAUACCUCGACGUAAUGCAAAAGGUGGGGGAAACUGUGCGCAAAUAUAUUCAUGCUGAUUUCGGGAAUUAUCGUUGCGUAUUGUUCGUUCAACCGAAACAAUGGCAGCGUGAAGGGUCUGGUUUCCUUACGGACCAGGCUCCCUCCCGAAUAGAUUGUAGUAAGGAGUACAUACUCUUCGGAGUUUGAGAGCCGCUGGUAACUCUCUCGAUUCUGGUCCCGGUCCUUUUGCCUUUCUGUCGUCGUGCCUGUGCACAGGCGCUCCAUAAUGUCAUGGCGUCUUGCCUCCUGAUCUUGCCGUUAGCGUUUUGCGGCUUUUGUCUCGAAAUUUGAGUUCCUGAUUGCCUGUGAUCUGCGUCCCCGCAGUCCCUUGAAGCUGCCCGUCUGCUGUACGAGGGUCCGCUCCUGCACGCGUCCGCCGCGGACCUGGCACCAGGCUUGCAGGGCCCUCGUCUAGAGCCCCUUCGCCGAGCUAUCAAGUCGGCGCUCUGUUGUGGCCGGGUGGAACACAUGCAGGCAGCGCUCUGCGCAAUGCAGGUGCGGCGGGACGCAAUUCGCUUUUUGCGUGAAAUUAAUCUACUUGCGUCAUGUUUUCCUUGUCCUGAAUCCACCUGCGCCAUGAGAAACUGCACUAGCCAGCCCUCGAGAAUCUUUCUUCCUGCUGCGCCUGUGACGUGUAGGGACUGCAUUGGCUGUUGCCAGCCCGAGCGGAGGCGUAUGCUGCCGCCACCAGUGCCAGCGCCGCCAAUAAUGCUAGCGUGCUGCUGGCCCGCACCUCCAUGGGAUCCAGCGCAGCAGCUGCCGGCCGUAGCGGUGCGAACGAGACCACCGCCGCCACUGGAGCGGCCGCCGCGUCACCUGGUCCCCGGCCCCAAAGCAGCCGGCCCCAGGCCAUGCCAGAUGACCUGCCCAACAGCUGCAUGAAGGAUGUGGUGGAGUGCCUGAAGCUGUUGCUGGCACCGGUUGUAACGGUGGGAACCUGCGCACGACUGUCGUCCGAAUCCUCUUGCCAAUGCUGGUUGUGAUGUCUUCAUUGGAAGGUUUCUUCGACUGAUUUUCAGAAUAGCUGCACACCUCUUAGCACAACCCUAAGUGUCAUCAAUUCGGCUCUGACGCUGGCAUCCCGUGACUUUUCGUGCCGUAGGCACCCCUGAGGAGUACAGCCAGCGUCACCAAUGUUGCACGUCCCAUGAAUAUCGCACAUGCCCGGAACGGCGGCCCAGGCAUAAUCCGCGGCGCCAUAUCUCGGCCCAAGGAAAGGGAAAGCUCGAACGGUGGCCGGAGUCUGACGCCCGAGCGUGUACGGCAGGAGGCCGGGUCAUCGACGGCCACGGUGGCGGAGGGCCCCCUCAGUAGGAACCUGCAACAGCUUGGGUUGGCCGAGCAAAAGGCUUCCCGUGAGGAGCUGGAAGGCCAACAUGCAUUCCUGCAAGAGUCGGGUGCGGAUCCCGCGGCCCUGCCGCCUGCAGCCGACCUGGCGGCACGGUUAAUGCCUGUGAUGCUGGCACUCGACAACGGAAGGUAUGGUGGUGGUUUCAACACGACUGUGUGUAUGUGAGCCCAGUAAGUGUAGCUGCUCUUUCUUUCAUCUUAGCAAUGGUAGGUAACACUUCGUGGCUAACUUGGUGCUUUUGGUCCACACGAAAGGUAAUGAAUCCACAUUAUGCGUUUGCGUGGGCCUCGGUGUGCAGGAUGCUCCUGGCCGACAGCCGUGGAGUUGACGCAUUGUCCAUGUGCCGCGCGCACCUGCUUGAUGCCAUCCGGGAGAACUUUUCGCAGCUUAUCUUCAACACGGGGGCCGCCAUAACCCAGGUUCGUCAGGCCGUAACCCUAAGUUACCAACCUCACCCAAUGUCUUGAAUUGACCGGUGCCUUGAAAAGCAUCGGGACGGAAGAAGCUGAACUUGGUAACUUAAGGCAUCUGGGGCUCCCGAUCGCGGCUACAUCUUUUGGUUGGUGGCCAUCUUGUCCUCUGCAGGUGGUUGUACCGAUUCCCUCUGUCCACUUGGGCCCCCUGCGACUGUACAUCGAGGUUGUCGCCAUGCUGCAGCCCCACUUGACGACGGAGCUGCUACCGGAACUCGCCAGAUUGCUCUUGCAUCAGACGACUGCUGCAACACUUCAGGUCAGUACGUGUGGUUUUCGUGCUCCAUCUUAUGGACGGCAUGCUUGCAUAUACACCAUCCCACCAUACGUGUCGUUUGCAAAACGUUAUACCGCGGCCGCCAUUCGCCCAUGCCCUGGUCGCAGACGAUUGGCUUGGAAGCCAUUUCUGUCCCGAUGCGGAUCUCCCACAACAAUAUCCCGCCACCAUCAACCUCCGCCGAGGCAGGGGCGCCGACCACAGACGGAGUGAGUCCGGGACGCAAGCAUUACUCAAUAGUCCUAGCGUGUUUACAGAGGCCACGCAGCAUGAGUUGACAGCCGAUCUUAUGAUGAUUGAAACUCUCUAUGUGUCUGUGCAGGUUAACCCAUCGAUGGCACCUUGUGCGGGCAGCAUGGGCAGCGGCGGCACACACAGUGCUGGUGUCGUCGGGCCCAUGACGCGCUCGCUUAACCAAUCUAACAACCUGGCGCGCACGUCAGGAGGUUAGUUUUGAUCUUCCAUAUGUUCCUAAGUCACAUCCUGCACGCCGCCAUGCCUCAAGCAAGACGUUUAUUGGUUUACCUUGCAGGCGAGGGUGAUCGCGGUGUCGGGCCGAUGACGAAGCGCCUGUCUGGCUCUGGGGGUGGUGCACCCCCAGCAAACUCCCCAGGUGUAUCUGGUCCCGUCUCCGUUGUCCGUGCCAUGCAUGAGUGGCUAUGGCGUACGGUCAUCUUCCUUCAUGAUGACCGGCACCCGAUGGUCUGGUACGAUGCUGAGGUUGGCGCCUUCCAGUCGGCUGAGUCAACUGUCUGCAGUACCGGCAAGGUUGGCGCGGCAUCAUCGGCAAGCCUAGCAUCCGCAACAUCCGUCCGGGAGCUGUCUUUAAUCUUUGAGGUGAGUUUGUAGCUUGGAUAGACUGCGGGUUGCCAGCAUAUGCCUGAAGCUGACAGAUACCUCUUCCGAUGUCUGCUUCGCAGCUCUUCGGUCCUUGUGCUGCAUCAGACCUGACCCGCGGUUGCGACCAGCUCAUCCACUCUUGUCUUGAAGAGAUUCAGGUAAGACGGCUUAAGCGCCACAUAGUUCCUCAGGAGUUGUCCAGAUAACCUCCUUUCUGAUCACUACUUUCUAAACACGGGCCUCAACAACGUGCCUCAGGCUUACUUGGAAGUGAACCAGGCACCUCUGCAAGACCUACUUGACGCGGCACACCUGCCCCUUGACAAGCGCUUCGCCGCCGUCAGCCGCGUCCUACCAAGCCUAGCGCCACCGUCAUCGGGGUCCUCUUCCGUGCGUGGGCCUCAAUGCCUAAAGGGCCUUACCGACACAGUCCUGCGGCUUGGGCGCUGUCUGGCGCUGCGCAUGCAGCUGGGCCGCGCUGCAGCCACAGCAGCCGAGCGGACAGCUGACUUUGUAACGCUUGCCCUUCGGGAGAUGGCAUCGCCUGUCAAUGUUUGCUGUGGAGAUGUGAAACCCCCGGUGGCCGAUGGCGAAGCGGACGUUGCUGUGGGGACAAACGUCGUGACACCGCAUGAGCGGCGUGAUUGGGCAGCGCUGGUGCGAUUGUCGUCAGGCAGCAGCUCGGGAGAUGUAGACUGCGGCUACUGCGGUUGCCUACUCCCCGAGCGAGAUGACAUCGUUUUAACUGCACGCCUCGCGAGUAAGUGUAACGGCGGCACGGUCGACCAGAUAUAUGCUUUAGAGGAAGCCCGUUGCUUGAAGCGGCCAAGAAUUGUAAAGCUGCCUUUGCAUCUCUACCACCAGCUAUGUCCCGGUAUGUUCAACUCUAAGUGAGCGAUCCGUUACCCUUCUUGCUGCAGUGCUUUUGCCAAGCCUGCCGGCGGCCCAGCGAUGGCACCGCCUACCUGCGCUCAUGGCGGCACUCAUGGCCGCACCACAAUGGAGCGUCGGCGUGGCUCAUCAUGGUGCGGCACAGCUGGCUUCGCGCGGCAGCAAGGGCUCCACAACGCCGCGCGUUGGGCCCUCGCAGCCAGCGGGUGCCCUGCCACCAUCGUCGGUGGUCUUCGCUCCUCUGGGGGCGAUAAACACCGUGGCUGUGGCGCUGAGCCUUAGCCUGCAGGAGGCCAUGUCGCAGGUAUGUGUGAUGAUGUCUGGGUCGUCUGCGAGGUGCCUGCUAGGCCGGACGGCCCGAGUAGCUGCUGUGAUACUCUUGCCUGUGUCAGUGUGGCUGAUGCAGUUUGUCUCAUCAAUCGUUUUCUGCGCUGUGACCUUGGCAGGAGCCUUGGCAUAAAAACAGUCCAUUUUCCAUUCUCUCCCCUCUUGCCCUUUUUUUUGCGAAAUGCAGGUGCUCCAUCCCGCGGCUAGCCAGUUCCUGAUGGGAUGUGGGACACCCGUGGCCGCCAUGCUCUGUGCUUACCAACGCACCGCACUUGCCGUUGCUCAGGCGGCGGCCGUCGGCGCCGGUGCUGACUGCACUUCCGCCGCCACCGCUGCCAAACAGCACAUGCUUGCCUCUCUUGAGCAGAUUCCAUUGCUUCGAAACUACAGCUACAUGGUGCCGUACACUCCGGAGGAGGCGGCGGCGGUUGACUCUGCGACGGUGGAGUCCGACGCCGCACAGCCGGCUGACGGUCCUCCGAUUGCUUCCGCGCCCCUGAGCGGCUCCCUCGAGCUGAGCCAGAGCUGGUGGGCGAGCGGAAGUAGCGUGGGCCUUAGUUUGAAUGGACUCUCGCAACCGCUGCACAAGACAGCCAAUGCACUUGUUCACGUUGAGGUGUGCGAGCCGUCCCUGGCGAACGGGCGAUGGAGUGGGGAGGUUGACGGCUGGCGGCCGGCCUCGCGGCUGCUGCCGCUUGUGAUGGGCCACGUUGCCUAACUUGUCGGGCCAAUUGGCACUUGCAUAUUACAUAUCAAAUAUUGAUGCUGCAACUGCGCGUUGGGACCUUAGUUACGCCGACUAAAUUGAUCUCCUCCUUAGACUUUGAUGUUACUUAGGCAAGCUUAGAUGUUAGAUGUACGGUGCCAGCUCGGGACAGGUGUCAAAUUGCAGGGAAUAUCCUUGACAGACAGAUAGUAUUUUUUCGGGAUGUGUUGCUAUUGCCGUCGAGAAGCAGGCUCUCGAUGGAGAUUUUGAGGGAGAGUGAGCAGAGUUUUGCAGGCACAGAUGUAGCACCAAACAGAGCUUGGUAUUGCUGGACAAGGCAUAUGAGAAUAUUUUUUCCAACUGUUCCCGCAUAUAAGAAACGAGGCUUUCCGUGAUAUUCCUAAGAAGCCGAGGACUAAGUGCAGACGAAAGGGCGAUGAUGCACAGCAAGCUCUUUCAGCCUGCAAUUUGUCCAGUUGCCGCAAACGAUGUGCCCCAAAACGAGCCAGUUUAUCAGAAUCGCCGGACUCAGGUCCUCAAAAUAAGUAUCUUGUGCCGUUCCCGGCAAAGAUCCCAAUACAAUGAGACCUGGAAAGAAGAAGCUGCUAGCGCUCUGGUACUCCGAACGUUCUGUAAGAUGCAAUUCUGGGAGCUAUUGACAGCUAUUCUAUCAUAGUCGCUUUGAGGGUUGCAUUAUCACCAUUGGCUACCUCUCAAAAGUGUGAGCGACCCAGGGGUCGCACGUGCUUGCUACUGGACAUGGCACCGCAGCAAGUAUUACGCCGCACAGUAACCGACGACUUAGGCGCUUGGGCCACAAACACUUAUCCGGCGGGCUUAGAGCGCUUGCCCUGGGACGUGCUAGUCGGCGGAAUGCCGUGUUACGGAACCGUUUCGAACUUCUUCGCUGGAUGCGCGACCGCCGGCAUUCCAGACGCCAUCCUGGACACAUAUUCACACCGCCCUUCAGGAUGGAACGUCCUCUUCGCAGCUGCUACCCAGAUUCCCAUCGGUGCCGCAAAAGCCCUGGGCUGCCGCUGUGAAGCAGCCACGCAGAGGGACACCAGCAGCAGCUGCAGCUGCGCCGGACACAGCAACACCAGUGCCAACACACACAUAAAAAUCGGUAGCGUGCUGUUUCGCGGUAUCUUUGACCGGCUGGCCGGCUGUGAUUUGGCACGCUGCCGGGCGGUCCACCCAACCUGGCGAGCGUGGCUGGAUGAGACGACGUCCUCCUCGCCGCAGCCAACGACAGCGAUGACGGCGACGCGGGACGUGGAACUCCGAGAUGCAGGAUGCAGCAGUGGCAGCGGAGUCGGGGCGCCGGUAACACGGCUGUGGCUGAACGCAGCUGUACGGGAUCUAAUGUUGUGCACCUGGCCGGGCUUCCAGCUGCAGAUGGAGGAAGAAGCCUUGUGGUGCGAUCGAACCCACCCCCUAGUGCUGCAACAGCAGCAAAGGCCAAUCGUACCGAGGGUGGUGCAGGGGGAGCACUCCUGGCCGCUGUGUGGAGCGCUGGAUUGGCCCUGGACCCGGGUCAUGCAGGGUAAGGACACAGGUGCCGACGGAACUGCUAACUGCGGCUGCAGCGGCAGUGGCAGCAGCUGUGGAAGCUGCACUCCACACGCCCUUAGCCAGGGGGCCCCCAGUCAGGGGGCUCCUCGAGGCGAGCAUCACCCCGGCGGCGGCUGCAGGACCUCUCUGGAACACUGUGGGGCUGCGGCGGCCCACUCACCCGGUGCUCCGCCACCAGGUAACACCCGCUGCACCACUGGUCACCAGCCACACCAACAGCAACAGCGCCCGGAGCAGCAAGCCUUGGCUUCAGGAUCCGGCAGUCUGCAGAUUCCCCCACAACGGAUGUUGCGUGUCAUUGUUCGCCGACCGCCGCCGCCACCGACCGACCACCGACUGCCUCCAUUGCCGCUGCAGCUGCACGACUUUGCGCACCAACCUCAGUUUGGCGUUGCGGGGUCGCCCUGUGGUGGUGGUGCGGCAUUUCGCUGGUAUUCCCGGCUGCAGCGGCUCCUGAACACCACCCUAGAGAUAGAGGCCGCGGAAGCGGGCCAGCCAGGUCACCGAACCUACUGCCAUUACUUGGAGGCGGUGCUGCGGGAGAGGCAGAUAGCUGCGCUCCAUGCGCUGCAGCAUGUGCCGCAUGCGCUGCGCUUGGCAAGCAGUUACGUACAGGUAAGCACUUCGUGAACGGAUGUACGAACGUGAAGGGUGUAGGAAGAGAGCGCGAACGAUUUGCUUUGUGACUGGGGGCGUUAGGGAGAUGCAGCGCUCUGAGGAUGGUGAAGCACGCGAAGCACGGCGGAUGUCACGCCGUGGAUGUCAGGAACCUGUCAGGGGCUGUGAGGGGUCGCUGACAGGGCGGGUGGGUCCAUGGGAAGGAGGACGCCCCCGCGCAAUGGCUGUCCUGAAGCGACAUGUCUUGGUCGACGCUUGGGACUUGUUUCUGAGAGUUGCUGACGCCAUAGGUAACGUAACGUAAUGUAAUGUCGGUGCAGUGCGGUGCGAUUCCGGUGCUUUGCAACCUACGCAAAAUUUCCGAGCGCGUAGCGUGGAAAGGCUCUAGGUCCCAUAAAAUCUGGCAUAGUGGACUCCGGCCUUCCGGACUGAUGGGGACCACGGCCACCAGCGCGGCAACAAGGGCAUCAAGAAGGGGAGAACAGCGCUGCCAGUCGAAAAGAAGCUGCGUGUCUGCUUUUCUCACAAUCCCUUUUUGAGUCCGAACAAGUUACAAGUUACAAGUUCCGCACACAAGUGCGGGUGUGUCCGUAAAAGCCGGGGGGGCCAUGGACGUUGCAUUGGUAUUGAUGCGGGUACGCGGGAGGUCAUUGGAGUCUUAACGCAGCUGGUCGAAUACGCCGUAUAGCAUUGGGGUUUCGUGGCCACAGCAAAUGGUAUCUCCUGAUCCAAACCGGGUGCCGUGCUGCCCUCAGCCCGUGGGUGCCGUACUUCAGCUACCAACUCCCGAUGCCGUACAGUACGGCCAUGUAGAGAGUGUUGAUGCACGUGCAUGCAUACUGUGUAUGCUGUGUGGGACAGGGGGCCACCCGUGGCCGCUACCCGGCGAAACCCUGCCUUCCCCGGUAUUUCGGGGCACCCUCAUCCAGUCACCCUAGUCAACUUCUCAGUGGAUCGCCCAGGUUCCGCACCCACCACCAGCAUCCAACGGAAUCUGCCGGAUCGACGGCGGCCCAACUCCAUUCCUGGUCGGCUCGCAGGUUAACUUUAUCCCAGGUCACCACCGUCCAUCAGCUAGGGGCACUAUACCUUCCACCAUCGGAAGGAUUUUCGACCCCCCUGACAGGUCUCGAUCCCGUGAUCUCCCGGGGGCAAUGGUCCGUGCCUUACCAGUAGUACCUGAUCUAAGUGUAUUUCCGGUGUGUAUGUGUGUAUGUGUGGCCGUCCUCCCCUUCCGUGUGCAGGUUGGGCGGUACCUGCAGUCUGGAGGCGCCCAUUGCGGUCGCUUCGGCACCACCCUGGAGCGAGCGGCCGAGCGACUGAUGUGUAUGUGUUCGGACGGCAGGGUGCUGCUUGAUUGGGACAUGUGCUGGUGAGGCAUGGGGCAGGAGAAGGAAGGGGAUGGGACGGGGUGCAAGAGGAGGCGGACCCUGCCGCAUAGUGGUGAGGCAUGAUACAGGAGGGGCCGGAAGCUUUGGAAAGGUCGUUCUCGUGAAGGGGGGGAUGGCGUGAGUUGACAAUGCACCGUCAGGGGCACCUGCUCUUGUGUGUGUGUGGUGUUUGAGUAGGUCCCAGUUGUGUGGUUACCCUGGAGCAGAUCCGUCCGUCCCGCGCGCUGCCAGCACGGAGUGAAACUGCUAGUUAUUGAAGUGCAAGCGUUUGCUCGGGUGGGUCCCAACGUCGCCCUGAUAUACGUUUACCUUCCAGAGCUCAUAACCGCUAACCGCAUCGAAACCCCUCCUGUGAUCCUGCCGUCCUCCUCCUCGUGCGCGACUCCGCAGGCAAGUCCUGGACGAUGCUGGGGGCCAUGCGGCCGCGCAGCUGAGCUCCGUGCGCUGCAGCCUGGCGCUCUACACACACGCAGCCGACCAGCACCUGGCCGACGUGUAUGCGGCGAUAGAGGCCGUUGCGUCCACCCUGGGCACGGCCGGGGAACUGCCGGGGCAGCAACACGUGCCGACGCUGGCGAUUGUGGCAUUGCAGAUGCUUAGGCUGUUGCUGGUGGCGCGGCACUGGUUGCGGGCGUUGGCGGCCAUGGUGCCGCGUUUGGGGGCACGACCGGCGUUGGCGGACUGUACUGACGCAUGCAGUGCGGCGGGUGCGCUACAGGAGGCGGUUCGGAAUGUGGCGGACUUGCUGGUGCAGGGGGAGCGGCUGUGGAGCGACAUUGGGGAGCUGGAGCUGCGGAAUGAAGCGACAGCAGUGGAGCAACGGCUGGCGCGGUUGGCGGGGGCGGAGGCGGGGGCUGCUGGGCGGGCUGAAGGGGAGGGAGGGGUCGCGUGAUCGGUGCUGAGUUGGAUGAUCUACUGCAUUUGCAGGUGUUGUGUUCAUAGUUGGUUGGCAUGUGCUGCUGUACCAAAUCUGCGUUUCGUUUGUUGCGGAAAGGACGCGUAUGGAAAGGAGUCCAUUUGUUGAUGGCAUGGAACGUGAGAGGAGGAGUUGAGAGCAUCGAGAAGUUGAUCUAUGUAGCAUAGUAGUUCACUUACUGAGUGUUGUCUUAUGCAUUUUAUGGCUGAGGGUUGCAGAGAAAAGUGAAAGAUGCUUGCCAAGAAGCCUUGUGUUCAAUCUAUGCCAUGGCAGCUGAUUGGCUACACAUGUAUACGUGAUGUGCCAUAUCGGCAUUAGAAAUUUUGCAUCUCGCAUUUCAAAGUUGUCGUGUGCGUUGUCGUGCACAGCAUGAAUGCAUGAUUUACGCAAAGCACGGCUUAUCAUGCACCUCCGUCCAUCCUGCACAAUCGUGAUGACUACAAUAUUUGUCUUUUUAUUAAUUUAUGUUACAAGUACCAGCAAAUUUUCAUUGCCAAGCUUGGGUCCAAGCCUGAGAAUCUCAGGCGAUAGGUUCCCCUGUGUUUGCAUUUGUAAGGAUUUCUUUGCAACGAGCUAAGAAAACCAUAGGCGUGCCAAUGGCCAAAGUUACAGGCAUUGAAGGCAUGAGCAAGGUGAGCACUUGUCCUGAGAAGUCUGCAGGCCAAGGUAGCGAAAUUCCAGCGGUCUGCAUCAAUUUCUCGACAGGAACAACACCGACAACUUCGUCAAGAGUUGAGGGAGCAGAAACAAAACCUGCAGCGUGAGCUUCUGUUUUGCCGAUUGCACGGUCGCGUGAAACGAGGGUUGGCUUUUCCCUAUGGCCACGUUCAUGUCUUCCGUAUCGCAACAGGUAACAAGGAAGUGCUAUGCGAUAUCAGUACCAACCGGCUGGACGAAGCGGUCAAGCGCCUUGAGCAAGUCCGAGAACGCGGUGACGCCUUAGGUACGGUGAUACCACAGAAAAUCGCCAUGCGUGCACGCGAGCAUCUGUCACAACCUGAAGGCACCCGCGUUCUUGGCCGCAGGCGAUGCAUUCCGCAAACCCAAAGACGUUUCAGUACAGGCGGAAAUUUUCCGCACGUUGGCGGGUUAUGGCGUGGAAGCUUCGAAUAAGUUGGUCCAACAGCAACAAGUAGGUCUACCAGACCUAGCUGCAAUGCAUUAGAUACCCCCGGAUUAGGCCCGUCCAAAGCUCACUGGCCUUGCGUUAAAUGAUUCUGCGUGUGUCUGCAGGGUCGCGGGCCCCUGGAGUUAAUCAGGGCUCUCCGUGCCAGGUUCGUGUACUCCAGCGAUCCGCAGCGUGAUGGUGAGACGAAUCCCAGCGCGUUCAGCUGGUACGAGUUUGCCGCGGCCACUGAGCAUUUGAGGCGGCCAGCACAUGGUAAGUGGCACGCGCGCGCGUGUGUGUAGGUAAACGCCGACAACCCCGAGCAACACCGAUUACUUGGCGACCCGGACAGCACUUGGCCUCUGUAUGUAUGUCGAAGUCACGGAUAUAACCAUAUCGCGGCGUGCACGGCGGUAAUGCCAACCACGUUGCUGAGCUCCUAUCUGCUGCCAUCCGUGCCCGCUGGAGUCUGCAUCGUUUGACUACCCAGAACAUUGUGGCCAGACUGCUGGGAGGAUCUUAAUCCACAGCCUUAUUGGCGAGCAAUGCAUUUCAUGCACAUGUUGCUGUGACUACCACCAUGCUUUUUGAGAUGUCUACGUUGGCCGACCGACCCUAUCUGCGCGGCCAUCAGGCGCACACUGCUUAAUAGGGGCCCUGGACGUGAAGCCGAAGGAGCGGAAGGCGCCUGUACAACGCCAGAAGCGCCCGGUAGGCUUGGGUCUGGGGGCCCGGGUAGGGCACAUGUUGCCUUUGGGGGCACAUGUGCUACACACCACAUGCAACUGACAUCCAGCCACUCGGGGCUGAUGAUGCUAGGGGUGAAGAAGCAUAGGUGGUGCCGGCGCAAGUGAAGGUGGUACACUGCAUUCGGGGGAUGGAAGCCAUGUGGGCGGAUGAUCCCUUCCAGGAAAGUACUUUCUUGCCCACAAAAAGGUUUUGUCUUUGUCGCUUGAGUGUAUUUCGAUGCUGGUUGUGCAGUUUGUGUGUGAUGUGGCGCUUCCUACAGCCCUAUGUGACUUGACUCACUCCUACAGCGUCCAGUGUUGUGCCAGCGGUGUAUGUCUGGACGUCUCUCGGGUAUCCGCGUACCCACAUUCGUACCCACCCAUUAGCGACGGAAAAGGGGUUUGGCUAGCUUUGUAUCGGGCUUGGCCCCCACACUUCCUCCCGUCUUGGCACCCCCCUCCCCCAACAUUGGAUUCGGAAUCUUUGGUCGUGCUCCUCUCCGCGUUUCCCUCCCAUCCCACCCUGUUUCUAGGAGCUGGAGGUCUUACAAAGGCCCGAGGUGCAUAUUGCCAUGCCUGUGGAGGACAAGAAGGAGACCGACCGCAAUAUGGAGACCAUGUGGACCAUUGUCAAGGCGCAAGCGGAGCCGGAGGUAAGAACCCCUUCGCCCCUUCGUCGGCUGCACCGGCUGCGGAGAGUGGCCUGGGCGACUCGUUAGCUCGACAACUGGGCGACUCGUUAGCUCGACAACUACGCAUUGAACCGAGCCCCGGCGGCAUCUGACGCUUUAACGUUUCAUUUUGCUGGAGCUGCUGUAGUCAGGGCAGCGCUUGCUUUGCCUUUGCCAUGCGUAUCACGUUUUGUUGGUAGUUAUGGUACGGUCACCUGAAUUUGAGGACGGUAGAGCGGUAGUACUGUCGCGCAACUGGACAGCGAAAAGCUCCUGUGUUUUUUGAAAGAGAGUUCAAUGGACGUGACGAAGGGAUCUGUGACAAGAAGCUUAGGCCACAACAACAUAUGGUCAGCACCAUAUGAACGAAAAGUUAUCAGCUACAGAAACUGCAUUGGGCCAAGCACGAUUAUUGGAAUAUAUUACGUCCCACCGGACGUCGACCUCGCCGCAUAUCCUAGGCCCCCAUCUGGUCGCAUGCAGCCGCCCGUGUGGCGGCUGCUUUCUUGCCCCGCAGUUAUCUUCUCCUCUUACCUCCUGCGCUGUCAGUUACCCACUGCACGUAAUGCCUUUCGGCGGUCAGUCAGUUGGUAAGAAGUCUUCGCCGCAGUGAGGGGGCCCGAACCGGCAUUCGCCGAUGACCCGAAUGGGCUACUGGACCGCCGUCUCCCACGCGCGUUAAGACCCUCAGGUGGCCCCCCCCAAGUAGUUGGCACCGCAGAGAGACCCACGGGGUGGGGGGUUUACCACCUCUUGACCAUUUGAACCAUGCAUCUGUGUGUGUGAGAGAGAGUGAGCGAGCAGCCCAUGUUCUGUUGUGGCCACCGCAGCACCGCCAUUGACUUCGCCCCUCGGUCUGAUGGCGUGACGUGACAGGUCGAUCGUCUUCUGAUGCCCUUUACCUGGGUCGCCCGCAUUUCCCCCGCCUCCCCUAACCUUGCCGCCCCUCCCGGGUUCUUCCCCCACAACACACAUCGCGGCGUUCGGAGCUCAGGUCCAGGUUGCGAAGCUGGUCUGCAACCACGCCUCGUUCGGACAGACGCUGGAGAACUUAUUCACGCUGUCCUUCCUGGUGCGCGACAACCGAGUCGGCAUGAAGAAGGUGCCGGGCGCCGGCCUGCUCGUGUGGGCCCUGGACCCCAGGCGGGGAGAUGCCGCGGGGAGGCAGCAGAAGCCACCACUGCAGUUCGUGGUCACCGUGAGUGCUGGUGUUGGUGUUGGUGCAUGUAUGGGGGCACAGUACAGGGCUCACCUUGUUUUGACAUGCUGAACUUGUUUGCGAUACCGCCAGCCUUUACGGGUCGAUCGCAUGUUUUAAGAUUCAUUGUUUAGUGCGGGGUGAGGGUGGGAGUGCAUGAAACAUGACGUCCAAUAAAGCUGUGAAAGGGGCCUUGAGCUGUGGCGGCGAUGCAGCUAACACGUCCAAGGGAGUCAACUGAUUGCUGGUGCCGGUAUGUGUUGUGUUGACAUCGAAUGAAGGUCAUGCAACCCUUCCCCCGGCCGGGGUCCUCCCUUCGUUGCUUCCCGCGUCAUUGCAGUUGCAUAUCGAUGACUGGGUCAAGAUGUGUUCGCGCGUCACACCGGAGGAGUGCCUCAUGCCGCACCGGGACUACGGCAUGACGAAAGACCAGUCGACAGCGGCGACUGGGAAGCGGCGGCAGAGCGCUGCAGCAGAUGGACCCUCGACCACCAAAAAGGCCCGGCUCGGACGGUGACCUAUUGCACCCUAUCUUGCCAAGGAAUGGAACAUUUGCGCUGCGAUGAUGCAAUUACCAUCAUGUGUUGUGUUGGGGUCGGUUGCUGUAAAUAAUCAAAAUUUAGUGAAUGCAUCCUAGCAAGGCCUAUCCUAGGUCUAUGCGGGUGGAGAUGUAUGACAUGGGCCAGCGAUGUCUUGGCUCAUUCACGUGUGACUGCGCAGCUGUACUAAGCUGUCACAAGUUUAGAGGCUCUUAAGAAGGCGUUUAAAAUAUGGAACCUGUUAAUGUGCAAUCGGACGAAUUGUUGUGCAUAGUGGGAACCACGCUUCUUCAACCGCGUCUUACGCUGCGCUCCCCAAAGGACACGAGUGGAUGUGCGCGAUGCAGUUGGUGUCUUGCCUGGUGCCCAGAGGUCCCUGUCCUCCGGAGUCCCAACCAUGCGAUGGGUGUUGAUUACGUGCGUUGUAUCGCAGGGGACGGGUGUUUUGUUGCUUCGAUUGUUUGGACAUAUGGACAUACAUGCAUUGACUCGGAGCGGGUUGUACACUUCUCAAUAGGACGGCAUGUGUGCUGUGUCCUUGUUGUAUAGCUUGUCUGCAGCAACCUGCAUCUCAAUCGGUAUGCAAUUGGUACUUGGAGCUGUCUUGAGUUGCCCUGCAGGUCCACAGCUGCUUUGCCAGGCAGGGUAAGACAUGUGAGGCCGAUAAGUUAAAGGAUGCUAGAAUGUUGGCCGUUUGGCACCACUUACAUUGGGAGCUAUGAGAAGCGAGGCCGACACUGUAAAUAUUUUCCAUAUGGGCAAGGGCGUCUGCGUCGUUGAGUACGACCGCAUGGCGUGUCAUUUCUCCUGGUCAUGCUGAGCUGCCCGGACAGUCAGCUUGCAGCAUUUCGCAAAGGGUAGAGAUCCACGUGCAGUUCACAGUUUUAUAUUAAGAAUUGCCAGCCGGACGAAUACAAUGUGGUGUGCGAGCAAGUGCGGCAUCAUCAUCAUCUUACCACAGGCCACCGCUGUUGCCCUCC